UGUUGACCACUUCUAUGAUAAAUUUACCUCGUGAAUAAACGUAAUUUCUCCUGCUUGGCCAGGUUAUAGAGGCGAAUUUUUCACCUAAUUCCAGAGAAUGGGGAGCCCUUAAUACGAUAAAAUUAAUUCUAUAAUGGUAAGGUCUUAAGCCAGCUCAAACAAAUCCCAGAUAAUUACGCCGCGCCAAUGAGGUUGACGAAUCUGAUAAGUCUUCUUUGCUUCACCGUCCUUUUACCCCUGUUGCUACGCAAGCCGGGAAGAGAUACCAGACUUUGACUAAUUCCCCAAUUGAUUUCAAAAGUCCAUUGAAUUAAACUUCUUAAAGUAACAACUAUAAAGUAAACAGUAACUUAAUUAUUCAUAUUUUUCAUCCCUGAACUCACAACCAAGUCGCCCCCCCACUAGCACAAAAUUAUAACUCUUAAUAAAUUUCCCCAUUGGAAACCUUUAUCCUUAGUUUCCCGCCUAUUUCCUCACAAGCAAAACCAGUCUCUCUCGGAUUCUCCUCAGGUGAGCAUGCAGUCUGAUAAUCUCCUCCUCCAUUCCUGUAAUAUUAACUGUUCGUGUCUGCGGCUCUCCUGUCCCUUACUCCAGGACAUACACUUUUCUUGGAAUGCAGCUCGACAAGCCCCACCUCACCUGGCCCACCAUUUGGAACAUCUCCAUACUUCAUGCAACAAGUGACCAGUGAAGAGAGUGGCCAGCAUUCAAUGGGGAGCCAACAGAUAUCUGUUGCUGUAUUACUGGGUGGCCAUCAGGUUGAAACUGGACUAUGGUAGCAGUCUCUAUGACUCUGCUGUCCCCACUACCCUUCACAGGUUGGACCUCCUUCACAACACAUCCCUGCAAAUCUCCAUGGGGACAAAAAAAUCCUCACCUGUCACGGCCCUCCAUGCAGAGAGCAGUGUUCCCCCCUUACACGCUUGCAGGAAGGAAGUCCUUUGCCGUCAGUUCUAUGCCAUAAAAUCAAAACCAUCAUCUCACCCCCUCUCCAAACUGUACUCCACCUCCAGAAUUGACCCACACACCCCAAUCUGGCUCUCAGUGUGUAGUCUGGGUACUGCAAGCCCUUUCCAAGCUGCAACUGCCACCACCACCACUCCAACCCAUCAGGUCCACUUCUCCAGCUGCACCAUGAUUAGACAUUUCAGACAGGAUUGCCCUGCAAGUAUCUUAGCUACACACGUUUUCUAACACCUAGAUCAGGCUACGUACCAGGAUUACAUCAAGAUCUACAUUGACGGCUCUAACUUUCCCGCUCUUCCAUCCACAGCUGCUGCCAUCUAUGACCAUAAAUACAGUAUCUGCAUGACGUGGACACUCACCCCUGCCACUGUCUUGUCAGUGGAGCUCUUCACCCUAUGUCAGGCCCUGGUUUACCUCAACAGUAUCUAGAUUCCAGGGGAAGCAAUUGUCUAUGCAGACUUCAGGUCAUCCCUGCAUCUCAUUCUCUCCCAUCACCCGUCCACAUCAACAGCUCUGGUUCACUCCCUACAAAAUCACCUCCUCUCCCUCACCUCAACAGGUUGGAUCAUCACCUUACAGUGGGUCCCUUUCCAUUCUGGUAUCUGUGGUAAUGAAGUGGUGGAUGCAACAGCAAAAAUAGAUCUUACAGGGACUGACAUCAUACCUCUCCCCCUGCCAUACUCUGCUGCCAUUUGCCUGCACUCCCAAAACUGCCCCUCCUCCUGGGAUGACUUCCUCCACAACUCCCUAUGUACCACCUCCAUGGACCUGUACCGCAAGGACUCCUCCCCACAACCAUGGGUUUGGCAGUCAUCCUGCACUUUAGAUGUUGCCCUCACCCAUUUGCAACUCGGUCACACCAAACUCAUGGCUCACUUGUAUCACCUCCACCUCUCUCCCUCCCUGUAUUGCCCCAGGUGCCAGAUGGUUUAAGAGAUCAAGGAACACUUAUUUCUCCACUGUUCACAUUUCUACUCCCACUGCCAGACCCUCAGCACUCAGCUACUCACCAUAUACAUUACUUUUGACCUGCCCACCCUAUUAGUCACCACUGACAUUCCUUCACCCCAUCGAUCCACAGCCAUAUGCCUUACAUGUGCCUUCUUGAAGAGGACUAAACAGCUCUCUAGACUGUGAAUACUCACUGACACUCACCAGGGUGUAUAUAGUUGGCAACAACAUCACCAGCCUUUACUCCCAGUUAGAUUUUUAAUAUUCAGAUCCAUAAUUUUUUUUUUCAUUUCCUCUUUCAACUUUUUGUUUUCCUUCUACCUUUCUUCUCUCCCAUUUCACUAAAAGCUUCCUUAAGUCUUCUCCAUACACCUCCUCAUCAUUUUGUCAUCCUCUCUAUAUAUCUGCCGAUUCUUGUAUUUCUUCUCUGAGUUUUAAAUUAUCCUCCUUGACUUUACAUAAUCUCACAUACUCUAAUCAUUCCCAUAUCUUCCUAAGUAAAUUCUGAAAAAUCCUGGGGUGGUGUACUUGGAGAUACAGUAGCCACCUCAUAUUUUUGCCCAAUGUAUCAAAAGCUUUUCAUCUCAUCAACUCUUCUCCUCUAACUGAUUGUCUUCAGCUUCUUUCUCAUCGCUGCAAUGUUGCAUCUCUAGCUAUCUUCUACUGCUAUUUUACUACUGCUACUGCUUCUACUGCUAUGCUAACUGCUCUUCUGAUCUUGCUAACUGCAUGCCUCUCCUCCUCCUGCAGCCUUGCUGCACAAGACUUUCUUCUUUCUUUCACCCCUAUUCUGUCCACCUCUCUAAUGCAAGAGUUAACUGGUAUUCUCAAUCAUUCAUCCCUUUCUCUGGUAAACUCUAGAACUCCCUGCCUGUUUCUGUAUUUUCACCUUCCUAUGACUUGAAUUCUUUCAAGAGGAAGGUUUUAAGACAAUUAUCCUUCAAUUUUUGACUACCAUUUUGGAUCCUGUUUGGGGACCAGCAUCUCAGUGGGUUUUUUUUUCAAUUGUAUUUUUGUUGCCCUUGGCUGGUGUCCCUCCUAAAAAAAAAAAAAAAAAAAAAAAAAAAAAAAAAAAAAAAAAACAGAGCUCGGGGGCUGUAAAUCAGUCCUUGAUUCAGCAAGGCAGUAAACCGCAGAGCCUCACAUGUGGACCAAGAUGAAGCUUCACCAAGGACCAUUCAGCCAAGCCAGCACCAUCUAACAUGUUGACCGACUACUUAAAGGGAGGUCCUGAUGGCAGCUGAGGAAGACUAGGCACUGCGGUUCCCCCUCUACCCCAUCUGCUCCUCAAGAUAGCCGCUAUCUCAGCAUUUUUACUGGCCUGACUCAUCACCCCAGUGUGGGAGGAUAUGGCAAGAAAGGUCAGGAAUGACUGAUGAUCCUUUGAUGCUGGCUAUACGAGAGACACUUGCUUCACGAAUACCUACAGCCAGAAUUAUAGAUACUUUCAUCACCACUGAACUACCGAGUAUGAAAACAAUUACAGAAAAUGUUUGUAAUAGCAAAGCUAACUCAGAUUCAUCCAGAUGUAUGACUUAUAAGGAGAUAAAGCCGCAAUUCACAGUGCAUGAUAUUUACAAGCAAAAACAUACAUCCAGAUGUAUGACUUAUAAGGAGAUAAACCCACAAUUCACAGUGCAUGAUAUUUACAAGCAAAAACAUACAUCCAGAUGUAUGACUUAUAAGGAGAUAAACCCACAAUUCACAGUGCAUGAUAUUUACAAGCAAAAACAUACAUCCAGAUGUAUGACUUAUAAGGAGAUAAACCCACAAUUCACAAUGCAUGAUAUUUACAAGCAAAAACAUACAAUUAACGAAUUCCAUAGAAUGUCUUUUACGCGUUUCCGGUUGUGUGGUCACAGUCUGGCUAUCGAGACAGGGUGCUGGAACCGCAGAGGGAGAGGUCGCUUACCAGUGGAAGAAUGGCUGUAUGAGUGUGGACGUGUCCAAAUGGAGAGACAUGUGGUAGAAGAGUGCCCUUUAACAGCUCACCUCAGAUGUGCCUAUAAUGUUACCACAUUAGAUGAUAUAUUUACAGAUGUUUUUCCGCAUGAUGAUGUUUGCAAAAUGUUACAUGAAGUGUUAAGUAUUUACGAAUCGGUUGGUAAUGGUUGCAGUUGUUUGUCACUAGAAUAAGACUGUUGAUUAUUAAAGUAUGUUAAAGGAUGGUAAAUGGUUGCAGAUGUUUAUAUCACUGGAAUAAGACUGUUAAUUAUUAAAGUAUGUUAAUUGUGUGGACUACAGUAGUUAUCAAGUAUUAUUGUUUGUGUUAGGAGUAUUGGUAAAAUUAUUGCUAUAAUUUUUUCUAUACAUGUAUUGCACUGUGGUCAAUAAACUAUCUAUCUAUCUGUGUGUGUGUGUGUGUGUGUGUGUGUGUGUGUGUGUGUGUGUGUGUGUGUGUAUUUAUCUAGUUUACCUAGUUGUGACUUAUGGAAAGGGAGUAAUCUCAUAGUAUCCCAUCUCUAUAUCUAUCUAGCUUGGUCUUAAAAGCACUGACAGUUUCGACAUUUACAACAUCUUCACUGAGUUCAUUCCAUUUGUUCACACUUCUGUGAGGAAAACUAUACUUCUUAAUGUCUCUUCUACAGUUAAAUUUCUUCAACUUCUUAUUGUGUCCCCUUGUACUCUGUGUGUCUAAAUUUACAAAACCUUCUUUGUCCACAUUUUCCAUACCAUUCAUCAUUCCAUAGAUGUUUAUUAAAUCUCCUCUCUCUCUCCCUUAUUUUCAAGGGUAGGAAUUUCCAGCAUUCUUAAUCUCUCUUCAUAGGUCGAUUUACUCAACAGAGUUGAGUAAAUCUCUCUCACACACACACACACACACACACACACACACACACACAUUGUGUGUGUGUGUGUGUGUGUGUGUGUGUGUGUGUGUGUGUGUGUGUGUGUGUGUGUGUGUGUGUGUGUGUGUGUGUGUGAGAGAGAGAGAGAGAGAGAGAGAGAGAGAGAGAGAGAGAGAGAGAGAGAGAGAGAGAGAGAGAGAGAGAGAGAGAGAGAGAGAGAGAGAGAGAGAGAGAGAGAGAGAGAGAGAGAGAGAGAA